UGCUAGUCGCACGAGUUCAGACUCGUGGCGAAUAGCUCAGUAACACGUGGCCAAACUACCCUUCGGAGCUCCAUACCCUCGGGAAACUGAGGCUAAUAGAGCAUACCACAAUCCAGCUGGAAUGAGGAUUGUGUCAAACGCUCCGGCGCCGAAGGAUGUGGCUGCGGCCGAUUAGGUAGACGGUGGGGUAACGGCCCACCGUGCCAAUAAUCGGUACGGGUCAUGAGAGUGAGAACCCGGAGACGGAAUCUGAGACAAGAUUCCGGGCCCUACGGGGCGCAGCAGGCGCGAAACCUUUACACUGCACGCCAGUGCGAUAAGGGGAUCCCAAGUGCGCAGGCAUAGAGCCUGCGCUUUUGUACACCGUAGGGAGGUGUACGAAUAAGGGCUGGGCAAGACCGGUGCCAGCCGCCGCGGUAAUACCGGCAGCCCGAGUGAUGGCCGAUUUUAUUGGGCCUAAAGCGUCCGUAGCUGGCCGCGCAAGUCCAUCGGAAAAUCCACCCGCCCAACGGGUGGGCGUCCGGUGGAAACUGCGUGGCUUGGGACCGGAAGGCGCGACGGGUACGUCCGGGGUAGGAGUGAAAUCCCGUAAUCCUGGACGGACCGCCGAUGGCGAAAGCACGUCGCGAGGACGGAUCCGACAGUGAGGGACGAAAGCCAGGGUCUCGAACCGGAUUAGAUACCCGGGUAGUCCUGGCCGUAAACAAUGUCUGUUAGGUGUGGCUCCCACUACGAGUGGGUGCUGUGCCGUAGGGAAGCCGCUAAACAGACCGCCUGGGAAGUACGUCCGCAAGGAUGAAACUUAAAGGAAUUGGCGGGGGAGCACUACAACCGGAGGAACCUGGCGGUUUAAUUGGACUCAACGCCGGACAUCUCACCAGCAUCGA
rnacentral:rRNA from 1 species